rnacentral:rRNA from 1 species
AGCGAACGCUGGCGGCAGGCCUAACACAUGCAAGUCGAACGGACCCUUCGGGGUUAGUGGCGGACGGGUGAGUAACACGUGGGAACGUGCCUUUAGGUUCGGAAUAGCUCCGGGAAACUGGAGCUAAUACCGGAUGGUUCCUACGGGAUAAAGAUUUAUCGCCAAAAGAUGAGUCCGCGUACGAUUAGCUAGUUGGUGGGGUAAUGGCCCACCAAGGCGACGAUCGUUAGCUGGUCUGAGAGGACGAUCAGCCACACUGGGACUGAGACACGGCCCAGACUCCUACGGGAGGCAGCAGUGGGGAAUAUUGGACAAUGGGCGAAAGCCUGAUCCAGCAAUGCCGCGUGAGUGAUGAAGGCCUUAGGGUUUAAAGCUCUUUUACCAGGGAUGAUAAUGACAGUACCUGGAGAAUAAGCUCCGGCUAACUCCGUGCCAGCAGCCGCAGUAAAAC